CUUUUUAGUUUUUUAUGGUCUAUUGAAUUAUUUUGUAGAGAUAUUGUUAAUAUAUAUCCUUUAAAAAAGAAAUUCCUUUGUAAUUUAUAGUCUCCGUUAUAACGCCGAUAUAUCUCCGCGAAAUGAGAUUUAUCCUUAAAGGUGGUUGGCCGCCGAGUGACCGCCGACCGUUAUUUACAACCUUGGUAUUUCUGGCCUCUAAAGACAAAUUAUGAGAGGUAAGCUAUUCUUCUAUAGUUCUAUCCAAGUAGAGGGGGUAUUUUAACCUUCAAAUGGGCCAAUUUGGUUUGUAUUUUAACCGAUCAAACUUGUUCGAAGGAAACAAAUGUAUGGGUUAAGCUAAAUAUUUUACCUGAAAAGGGAACAGAUCAAACUCGUUGAAAGCUACCCGAAGAAAAUCUACCAGCACAAGACCUCCUAAAUGCUUUAUGUUAAAAAAGUUUGAUUAUAAUGAUCAGGUUUUGGUAUUCAUACAUAACGGGUAAGCUUCAUGUGAGAACUAUUCAUAUAUGAACAUAGGUAAUAUUAAGUAUAACUUGAUCCGUUCAUAUGUGAACGAAUUUGUUCACUUAUACCAUUCACAUAUGAACAUCAAGUUAUAAUUUAAAGGUUCUCAUGGUUCUUUCCAUUUCAAAUGGUUGUUACAUGAACCUUUUCCCAUACAUAACACAUCAAGUAUUUAUAAUCCCAAUAAAAGGGUAAAAAAGGGUGGUUGUGUCAGUCCUGCCCUAGUCCAUUUUGGCUAACGCUAAAUUUACCAGAUUUAACCGGUUCUGGCCCACUAGCCAACCCGUGUAACCCUAUGAUAUGCAACCUCUAUCUACAACCAUCUAUGGUUUAGCAGAUAAAUUGCAACUGGAACAGUUAAUACGUUGACCAUUUAUACUUGGCUUUCAGGAUGAGUUUAUCAUUAUGGUGAUCAAUCAUAUUACUCUUUGAUUUUUUGAUGCAGAACAAGAUGAAGGUCUAGAAAAAGUGAAAAACUGGGAAGUACCAAACAUAUUAUGCUGGCUGUAUGGCAGUCUGUGAGGAACUUGAUUUGCAUACUAGUAGACUCAUUUGAACUUUUGAAGUCAUUCCCUUGCUUUAACAGCUUUUAAUAUGCUGCUUUUUAGCUACUUACCAAAUUUUCUAGAUCAAUAAGUCACAACGAAAUUGAUUAAAAUAUGAUCUACUUUGCUGUUUCCAGAUAUGUAGGCUGAAUUGGACAAACUAUGUAAAAGCUACAUAUUCUGGGCUUAAGGUUUCACUCUUACUAAAAUGUACCUUAGUGAUCAAAUGGAGCAUUCAUAUUUUUUAAAUUUCCACCAAAGGGAUUUUGGCCUAGCGGUAUUGGGUGUAACUCAUCAACAAAAAGAUUGUGGGUUCAAGUUUUACUUGAGACGAUUGCUGAUACUGAUCAAGGUUUCUCACCAACAAUCUAUUAUUUGCUGAAUCCUUGUGCUUGACACCAUCUCAAUUCCAUGACAAUGUUAUGGCUUUGGAGUUUGUAUGCUUUUUUUGGAUAAACUGAUAUCUUGAAGAUGAUUGCAAUGGAGACUAAAUAUGAAGGAUCCGACAUUUGAUUUGCAGUUUUCUACAAAGCCAUACACUAAAGAUGGUAACAGCAGUUGGAAGACUAAUCACUGAUGCAAAUGCCAAUUUAUUCGGAUGCUAAUCAUCGAGCAGAUAGUUGAAAGUUUUGAUGAUUUUACCGCUCUGUGUUCUUAUUUUAUUACUCCGAAUUGAAUCUGUUGUUGUGUUUUCCGGUUUUUUAUUUGAUGUCAUUGAUACUUGUUUAUACAGAAUAGUCAAAGUUCAGUUGUGUUCAUUGUUAUA